rnacentral:ncRNA from 16 species
UUGAAUCAUGGAGAAAAGGUGUUUACCUCAGAUGACUCGGAUUUGAGUGUCUGAAGUAUGCGCAAGAGGGAAACCGGUGCAAGUCCGGUGCGGUCCCGCCACUGUAAGGGUGAGCCUCGAUUGAUUGCCACUGAGCAUUUGCUUGGGAAGGAAAUCGACGGCUGUGAUCCCGAGCCAGGAGACCUGCCUUUUCUUUUUAACACCAA